AUUGAACGCUGGCGGCAUGCCUUACACAUGCAAGUCGAACGGCAGCACGGGAGCAAUCCUGGUGGCGAGUGGCGAACGGGUGAGUAAAGUAUCGGAACGUGCCCAGUCGUGGGGGAUAACGUAGCGAAAGUUACGCUAAUACCGCAUACGAUCUAUGGAUGAAAGCGGGGGAUCGCAAGACCUCGCGCGAUUGGAGCGGCCGAUAUCAGAUUAGGUAGUUGGUGGGGUAAAGGCUCACCAAGCCGACGAUCUGUAGCUGGUCUGAGAGGACGACCAGCCAAACUGGGACUGAGACACGGCCCAGACUCCUACGGGAGGCAGCAGUGGGGAAUUUUGGACAAUGGGCGAAAGCCUGAUCCAGCCAUGCCGCGUGCAGGAUGAAGGCCUUCGGGUUGUAAACUGCUUUUGUACGGAACGAAAAGGUUUGGCCUAAUAAGCUGAGCUCAUGACGGUACCGUAAGAAUAAGCGCCGGCUAACUACGUGCCAGCAGCCGCCGUAA
rnacentral:rRNA from 1 species